rnacentral:rRNA from 1 species
GACGAACGCUGGCGGCGUGCCUAAUACAUGCAAGUUGAGCGCUGAAGGUUGGUACUUGUACCAACUGGAUGAGCAGCGAACGGGUGAGUAACGCGUGGGGAAUCUGCCUUUGAGCGGGGGACAACAUUUGGAAACGAAUGCUAAUACCGCAUAAAAACUUUAAACACAAGUUUUAAGUUUGAAAGAUGCAAUUGCAUCACUCAAAGAUUAUCCCGCGUUGUAAUAGCUAGUUGGUGAGGUAAAGGCUCACCAAGGCGAUGAUACAUAGCCGACCUGAGAGGGUGAUCGGCCACAUUUGGACUGAGACACGGCCCAAACUCCUACGGGAGGCAGCAGUAGGGAAUCUUCGGCAAUGGACGAAAGUCUGACCGAGCAACGCCGCGUGAGUGAAGAAGGUUUUCGGAUCGUAAAAAUCUGUUGGUAGAGAAGAACGUUGGUGAGAGUGGAAAGCUCAUAAAGUGACGGUAACUACCCAGAAAGGGACGGCUAACUACGUG